rnacentral:rRNA from 1 species
GGGCGUGGCGCGGCUACAAUGCAGUCGAGCGGACGAACGGAGCUUGCUCCUGUAAUCUCGCCGGACGGGUGAGUGUGCCUAUGAAUCUGCCGGGUGUAGGACUGCGAUAUUUCCGAAGGAACGCUAAUACCGCAUACGUCCUGAUUGAGAAAGCAGGGGACCUUCGGGCCUUGCGCUUUCAGAUGACCCUAGGUCGGAUUACCUAGUUGGUGAGGUAAUGGCUCACCAAGGCGACGAUCCGUAGCUGGUCUGAGAGGAUGAUCAGUCACACUGGAACUGAAACACGGUCCUGACUCCUACGGGAGGCUCCAGUGGGGAAUAUUGGACAAUGGGCGAACGCCUGAUCCAAACAUGCCGCGUGUGUGAAGAAGGUCUUCGGAUUGUAAUUUACUUUAAGUUGGGAGGAAUGGUUGUAGAUUAAUACUCUGCAUUUUUGACGUUACCGACUUAAUAAGCACCGGCCAAAUCUGUGCCGGCAACCGCGGUACUACAGACGGUGCAAGCGUUAAUCGGAAUUACUGGGCCUAAAGUGCGCGUAGGUGGUUCGUUAAAUUGGAUGUGAUAUCCCCGGGCUCAACCUGGGAACUGCAUCCGGAACUGGCGAGCUAGAGUAUGGUAAAUUGUGGUGGAAUUUCCUGUGUAGCAUUGACUGCGUAGAUAUAGGAGGGAACACCAGUGGCGAAAGCCACCACCUGGACUGAUACUGACGCUGAGGUGCUGAAAGCGUAAGGAGCAAACAGGAUUAGAUACCCUGGUAUUCCACGCCGGAUACGAUGUCCCUAGCCGAUGAGAGCCUUGAGCUCUUAGUGUCCCACCUUACGCAUUAGCAUGACCGCCUGGAGAAUACCGCCGCGAGGGUUACACUCAAAUGACUUGACCUCGGACGCAAUUGACGGGGGGCACCAUGAGGUGUAGUUCGAAGUCGCUCAAAUCAACCUUACCGGACUGACUUCCCAUGACUGUCCUCAUCUGACAUCGCUGCCUACAGGAGCUUCGCUUCAGGUGCUGCAUGACUGUCGUCAGCAUCGUGUCCUGCAUGUGGGUUAGUCCGUAGCGAAGCUACCCUAGUACUGAUUACCUGCACGUAUGUCGAGCACUCUAUGGAGACUGCUGUGACACUGCGGAUGAACGAUGCGGAUGACGUCAGGUCAUAUGCCACUCACGUGCCGCCUACGACUGGCUACAUCGUCUCGUCAUGGUGCAACUCAGCUGAGCUUACGCCUACAACACAUACCGCAAAUCUCGGGAUUUGCA